rnacentral:rRNA from 1 species
CCUACGGGGGGCAGCAGUGGGGAAUAUUGGGCAAUGGGCGCAAGCCUGACCCAGCAACGCCGCGUGAAGGAAGAAGGCCCUCGGGUUGUAAACCUCUUUUCUGAGGGACGAAGAAAGUGACGGUACCUCAGGAAUAAGCCACGGCUAACUACGUGCCAGCAGCCGCUGUAAUACGUAGGUGGCAAGCGUUAUCCGGAUUCAUUGGGUGUAAAGGGCGUGUAGGCGGGAAAGCAAGUCAGAUGUGAAAGCUCAGGGCUCAACCCUGAGCCUGCAUUUGAAACUGUUUUUCUUGAGUGCAGGAGAGGAAAGCGGAAUUCCGUGUGUAGCGGUGAAAUGCGUAGAUAUACGGAGGAACAGCAGUGGCGAAGGCAGAUUGCUGGACAGUAACUGACGUUGAGGCGCGAAAGCGUGGGGAGCAAACAGGAUUAGAUACCCUAGUAGUC